GCAAGUCUGGUGCCAGCAGCCGCGGUAAUUCCAGCUCCAAUAGCGUAUAUUAAAGUUGUUGUGGUUAAAAAGCUCGUAGUUGAACCUUGGGCCUGGCUGGCCGGUCCGCCUCACCGCGUGUACUGGUCCGGCCGGGCCUUUCCCCCUGUGGAACCCCAUGCCCUUCACUGGGCGUGGCGGGAAAACAGGACUUUUACUUUGAAAAAAUUAGAGUGCUCCAGGCAGGCCUAUGCUCGAAUACAUUAGCAUAGAAUAAUAGAAUAGGACGUGUGGUUCUAUUUUGUUGGUUUCUAGGACCGCCGUAAUGAUUAAUAGGGACAGUCGGGGGCAUCAGUAUUCAAUUGUCAGAGGUGAAAUUCUUGGAUUUAUUGAAGACUAACUACUGCGAAAGCAUUUGCCAA
rnacentral:rRNA from 1 species